ensembl:lncRNA
GUGCUGCUUUAUUUAGUUAAGCAUCUCUCUCUCCCAGGAAAAUUUUCAGUGAGAAAAGUUUUCUAAAAAUAUCAAGAGAAAAGACUUCAGGAAGUGCACUGCCAACAGUCAUUAUAGAAGGAGACUCUUCUUCCAAAAAAUGACAUUUCUCCUCCUACUACAAUUUCUCUCUAGCUUCCAGCAUGGCAGGAAGCCUCCAAGUCAAGGCCUGCAGGGUUUCCCAUAACCCACUGGUUGAGGAAGAGAAUGGAGCCUUGAUGAGAAACAAAUCAGAAUGUGAUGCUGGAACUAGGCAGAAGUGAACGUUACUACAUCACAUUCCCCAGGAAUCCAUUACAAAGGUUCAUAGCUGAUUUCAGCGCUAUCUGGAGCUCUCAGAACCUCAGCCCCAGGCCCUCUAACAGUGACCUUGUCAUACUUCAGAUGCAUCUCUGUAUGGGCUGCUUUCCAACA